UAGUCCGGAAAAGCUCUGUGCCCAUACUGAGGAGAUGUACUGUAGUGGGGGGAGAUUUUUCAAGAGGCCCUCAAUUGGCGAUGGCCCCUGGGCACAGGCCCUAUGGGCCUUUGUGGUAAUCCUCCUCUGCCCAGCUGCCCCCAGCAGUGUAAGGUUUGCCCCCAGCCUCCAUUAUGCUCUGCCCAGCCCUGGCUCCAAAGAUUUUUUAAAUUAUUUAGCCACAGUGGAACAGCCUCAACAGGAGAGACUGAGGGAGCCCCCGACAUCAAUAUAUCCUACAGCCCAGUGUUUAGAGCACUCACCUGAGAGGUGAUAGAUCCCUGUUUAAAUCUCCCCCUAACUCUGCUGGGCAAAAGAGGAGGAAGUUGAACCAGAAGUCUCCUACAUCACAGGGGGGAAAAAAAUCUACCCACAAUACACAGGCAGACUCAUUUGCAAGAAAUGUGCAGAAAAAAAACAGACUAAGAAAGAUGCAGUCUCUGGUCCCAAAGAAUUUCUACUUUAUGUUAAGACAACAAUAGUGGGAAAAUAUGGCAGAACAGAAAAGGGUUGAAAUAGGAUGAGGAUGUCAUCAUGCAGUCUCAUGGGGAAGUUAGUAAAUGUGUCUAAAAGGUAAUAAGAAAGCUUUUGUUUCCUGGAUUUUUUUCUACUACUGUUUAUAAAUUAAUAAUGUAGCCAGCUGUAGGGAUGAACAGAAAAAUAUAUUCAUUGCACACAGUAGCAUUAAUGCAGCUUUAAAGGUGAGGAAUCGAGCACUCAAAAUCAAUAAAUGCAACAAGAAAGUUAAAAGCUCAACAAUAAGUCUGUGCUUCUGUGCUUAUGGUUUAACAUAUGAUCCUUCUUUAUGUUGUUAUAAAUUAUUUCUCAAUUAAUACAAUCUCUAAUAUACUGCAAAGUGCAAUAUCUUCUACAACCCCACAUAUAAUCAGUUCCAGAAUCUGUAAGCUUCAGUGAAAUCUACAGAC